rnacentral:lncRNA from 10 species
AACCACCUCUUGCCAUCAGAGUCAAUGAUAUAGAUGGGACACUUAAAAACCAAAACAGGGUUCAAUAAGGAUGGUCCAGAAAUCACUUUUAUUUUACUCAAGGGCUGUGAGGCCUCUACCUUAGGAGUCUCAGUUCUGGUGAGAGCAGUGUUUUGGGAGGCAUUGUGUGAGACACACCAGUUGGAGCAAAGUUCCGAAACAAUGCCCUAGUGUGGUCUCACAGCCUUCUAGGAAUCAGCGGAGGACUUCCAUUGAAAAUAAUGGAAAUUCACAUUGGCGUACUUUCGAUCCUUAAAAGGAACACACAUGACCAGGAAAGAUGCCCAAGGAUGGCAGCUGCCUUGCAGCCAAGCAUGGGUCAGACACACCAAUAUGGCAGCCUGAUAUCCAGAGGCCAACCCAGGCCAAGGAGAAAAACAAGAAACACCUGCAAAGACUAAAUUCCCAGGUCCCAGAAGGAUGGACAAAUGUUUGGUGAGCUCGUUGGUCCCUUGUGGCUCGUGUACUAAUACUCUGGCUACACUGAGGAGGAUGAAUGCCUAAGGCUGGGUGGGUCAGAUGUCUCCACAUCACAAAUGGAAACUACAUGCUGACAACAUUUACCCUGAAAGCUUUCAAGCUGAGGGUGUUGACUUCAACAGCCCAGAUGAGAUUGACUUUCCCAAUCCUGCCAAGAAGCCUAAAAGAAGACCUUCCACAUUUGAGAACUCAGUACCUGAGAACAGUUAUGAUUCUUUGCAAACAACCUGAGGAUUCAUAACAUGCGUCCUCUGCAGAGCUCUCCUUCUCCUGCUUGCUGCUGCCCCGGCUCCUCUUGACGCUCUUAUAGAACUGCCCCCAGCGGUGCCGCCCUGCAUCCUUCUUCAGGCGUUUCUCUUUGGCCCUUCUGUUCUGAAACCAAACCUGCCACACAAGCACAAGGGACAUACUCAGGGGGCGUCCACCACAAACCCAAAGCCCCCAGGACCCCCUAGGCGGGCGGCUGGAAGCAGACUGAAGCCUGAAUGGAGCACAGGUCUGGGAGUGCGAUGCGCCCCACCCCCUCUCCCCAGGUGGGCCUCAGAACUCUGUCUUCAGUUCUGGCAAAAGCCCUGGGGUCAAGCCCUGAGCCCAACCACCCGUGAGCUGAUGUCACUCAGGAUACCUUCCACCCCUGUCCCGGGCCUGGGAUCCCCGGAGGGCACAGGAGUGCUGGCAUCUCACCUGUACGACCCUCAUGUCCAGGCCUGUCUCUGAGGACAGCUGCUCCCUCACGUGCCGGGCAGGCUUGGGGGAGUUCUUGUAUGCAUUCUUUAAUGUCUCCAGCUGCUUGGCUGUGAUGGUGGUCCGGGGCCGCUUAGCUCCAGCCUCUGAGUCAUCUGCAAGGAAAAACCACUGCUUACUGGCUUCGGCCUAUCUGCAGCAGCUGCGCCUCCUCCCACACCCUCCCUUCCAUCCUUUCUGCACCUAAGCCUGCCUGCUGUAGGCAGGACAGCGCGAGGCACAGGGGACAUCAGAGUGGAGAGGUCCCCACUCUCAUGGCACUGACUCCUGCACCACGGGCCUUCCCAAGCCACUGAAAAGUGAGGACAGCAGUCCUUUCUCUGCUCAGCUCCCUGCCUCAACCCUCCCCUGCCAGCCCAGCUGCACAGAAGUCUCAUCAGAUUGAAUGUACCCAAUUCCACACGUCCCUGUCAUGACAAACACUCUGCUCACACAUCCUCAUGAGUUCUUGCCAGAGCUGUGAAGGUGAACAGCCAGGUUGAAGUCAUGUUCAAAGUCGCCCCAGAUGCCCUCCCCUCUGUCUCAUCAGGAGUCUCCCAUUUCCCCACAGCCAUGUCACCUUUGCCCUGGCGUCGCUGGGCUCACAGCCAGGGGUGAGCUUGCACACCCAACAGUGUCUAAGCAGGUUUCUAAACUAUAGGUCAGAACCCACUCGUGGGCUGUAAAGUCACCUUAGUGGAUCAAAACUAAAACAGGAAAUCAGAUGAAGAGAAUGGGAUGGAAUGGCAAGAUCAUUUCAUUAAACUUUAGUUUUUAUUGUAUAAAUAUGUGUACUGAGAUGAAAUGUAAAAUGAGUUUUACUGUGGAUUGUAGUCAAAAUUUUUUGAGAAAACUAGUCUAAGGAAUGUUCUGGGCAACACACUGACUGAUCAACACAAAGUCCUAGACAGAUUUUGAGUGAACAAGCUCAAGUUCCUGUUAGUUAAAGUCUGGUUUGUUCCAUUCAAAGUCAGGUACAGAGAGAGGCGCGUGCGUGUGUUCGGAAGCACAGGUGAAUGUAAAGGUUUGUUUCCUCUCCCAGCACUUAGGCAUACUGCCCUUUUCUCCACAGUGCCCCUGGAGGACACACGGAAUAAAGUCAGCAGCUGGCCUGGGCAGCUCUGCUCUCUGUGCUUGCUCACCUGUGUGCCCCAGAAGGUGUCUCUGUGACAUUCCUGACUUCCUCUCUGUCUUUUCUCCUUUCUUUCCAUUCAAGAAAACCCUCUCUUAGAAACAAUAGUAGCCAACAUGUGUUAGCACCUACCAUGUGCUGGUGUUGACUAAGGACUUUAUAUGCAUUCGGUCCUCACAAUCUACAAGGCUCUCCCUGGAGUCAGCAGACCUGGCUUCAGUGUUCUUGAUGAGUGAGUGACUUGGGCCAGUAACUCACUUCCCCCUUGGAAGUCCAGAGGGCAACACGGCCUGCCCUGAUCUUGGGAGGCACUAGAGGAAUGAAGCAGCUGUGCAGCCAGGACAUGUGUGUACACAGUGAGGGGGGACACACCCGUGCCUUCCCUUCUCCUCGGGCUGUUUUCUUCUCUCACGUGGCCACUGUCAUCCCGGAACUACUGUGGCCCAACUCCCUCCCUGAAGCCCUGAACCCGAAGGGUAGGGAUUCCGGAGCCCCUGCCACAGAGACUACACUACUUAGAGAGUCAUUCCAAAAGACAAAGGGGAACCUCCAAAAUGCCUUCCUUUUCAUUCUGAGGAGUCUGUCCCUUCUGUGCAUAUUUAUAGUCUACACGGGAGUGUCUGAUGCAACUUUGAAUUAUGCAAAUGGGAAAUAGUGCACUUGUGUACAAUCUUUAUAUUAAAAAAUGUGAAAUAAUGCAAUCACCAAAA